CUCCUGGCCACACACGACUGAAGUGGACAGCUAAGCCCACACCUGCUGCUGCUACUGCUCUGUGACGACAUAGUUCAGGAUGCUACGAAUUGUGUUAAUGAUGAUGGUGGUGGUGGUGGGGACAGCUCGGCGACGAUCGCUUCACCAAUAGAUAUGCCUACAUGAAGGUCACAGAAGACUGCCUCGGGAAAGUCAAAGCUUACAAUUGGAGGAGAAGCAUUUCACAGGCAGUCAAGGCUUGUUAUGGUGAACAAAUCUCUUCCUCCCUCACCAAGAAGCAAAUCAAAAGAAUUCAUUCACGCGAUCCGACAUUGUACAGGAUACUGGCAACCUAGCAAACGUACCCAGUCCGUUCUUAACCACCAACACCCAGGCAGCCUAUAAACCCAUGUUUUGCCCUCAACAAAUUGGGCAGCUGGGCCAACGGGGGUACCAAUUCGUCUUCCCCUCUGUUCGACAGGUAAGGCAGACAAAUGAACCAUUGUACGACCUUACAGUCAUGGAGAACAUCGUCAACAAGGCGAAGGCUAAAAUGAGCAACUUUACCUGUUCGAUGAAAAAGAUGGGAUAUCUGGACAAUGAGUUCAACCUAAGAUUCGACUACAUAAAAAAACAUAUUGAAAAUUUUAACCUGAAUACCCAGCUUACUAAGGACCUGCAUGGCAACAUUGACAAGUGCAAGCAAAUUUUGGAGGUUACCCGAGGACAACACAACACCACUCUCCCCCAAGUUACAGCGAAUCUUGACUUUCAUCCAGUGUGAGAGGAAGACUCGGCUCGCUGUCUGUUUUAAGCAUGACUUGAAGAAAUUCCUCGAAAACUUUGACCUCACCAAUUACCCUUACUACAAUCAAGAUGAUGAUAGAGCUGCCAGUUUCUUGCUUGAAGUCUUUUGGGGUGUUGAUUCUGAAUUAAAGUUGUAUUAGUCAGUCACUCAACAGUAUAGGAUGCCCCUAGAGGCCCUCCACACAGCAUUGGUUACCCCCAGAGUAUAGGUUGCUCCCCACUGGCCCCCCCACAGUAUACAAUAGGUAUACCCCCAGAGAUCCUCCACACAGCAUAGGUUGCCCCUCAAUAAGUCACCCACAGCGAGGUUACUUUUAAGAUGUAGUAUUGUUCAUAGGAUUUAUUUCUCUUUUUUUUGGUGUAUGGAUAAUGAAUAAUUUGUCUGUCUUGUGACAUUAAACAAAUGGUAAUA